GCCCCGCCCCACAACACCGCCCCACCCCGGCCGCGACUACGACCCUGCCCCGUGACGCCGGCCUCCACGACCCGCGACGGCUGGUCUCCAAGGCCCCGGCCCCUCGCCGUCCUCCCGCGGCUGCCCCGCAUCAGAUCCGCGCAUCACCGUCCCGGGUCACCGGCCACUCUUCCCUCUCCUCCCCGUUCCUCCACCUCCUCCCUUCCGUCCCUGGCCACUACAGUGCGUCCCGGGUCGACAGCCACCGUGUUGCCGUUCGCCUGCCUGGCCUCUCUCUGGCUCUCCACCGUCAAUGGGUGGGCGACAAAAAAUUGCAGGCGCGCAGGCUGCAUCUGACGACUGUCAAUGGUCACAUGUGGGACGAGCCCAACCGUGCAGUAUGCCAGAGCAGGUUGUGUAGUACUUUUUGGAAAUUUCUGUAGUUUAUUUGUUGUAGAUGCGCGAUUCACUUGUUCAGCCACCUGUUUCUUGCUGUUCACUUGUCAGGAUAGAGAAGUACGAUGGUGUGAACUACUUCGAUGGGAGCAGCAGGGGAGUCGAGGUGGUGUUUCUGCCUCUGGAUGUCGUAGUCGUGCGGUGCGGCUAUGCCCCAUUGCGGCUUGGUAUUUUCCCUUUCUUGCUGAUAGGUGCCUCGGUGCAGUUGGCUUGAUCGAAGAUGAGGUUCGACUAGUUUGUGUAUGCUGGUCAAGGUGUCUUGUACAUGCAGCUCACGACGUGAUGUUGGUUCAGUUCAUUGGCAAGCGAUUCUAUAUCGCGGGCGUGCAGCUCACCAUCGUUAGCCUGGCAGGGUCAACGCAACUGGACCCAGGACAUACGGCUUUGAUUUAGUUUUCAUUUUGUUUUGAGUGGGUUUUAUGUAAAUUUAUAGGGCUGUGUUUGGUAAGUUUUAAAAACUACUAUUUGAUAACAAACUUGGUGGUUCACUCCAGUGUUCUCCUUUGCUGCCUGGGAAAAAAGAACUUUGGUUUCAAGGUACACAUGGUGGCAGAGAACUUUGGUUUGCAGCUCACUUCGGUUUCCCC
rnacentral:rRNA from 1 species